CACUAGUGAUUCUCCUGGAAACGGGUGGUAAUGCCGGAUGCUCCAGUCCAUCGCAUGGUGGUCUGGGAAAGAUUUCAUCGGUAUGGGAUGGGGUCGCGUCCUAUCAGGUAGUCGGCGGGGUAACGGCCCACCGAGCCUACGACGGGUAGCCGGCCUGAGAGGGCGACCGGCCACAUUGGGACUGAGAUACGGCCCAGACUCCUACGGGAGGCAGCAGUGGGGAAUAUUGCACAAUGGGCGCAAGCCUGAUGCAGCGACGCCGCGUGCGGGAUGACGGCCUUCGGGUUGUAAACCGCUUUUGAUCGGGAGCAAGCCUUCGGGUGAGUGUACCUUUCGAAUAAGCACCGGCUAACUACGUGCCAGCAGCCGCGGUAAUACGUAGGGUGCAAGCGUUAUCCGGAAUUAUUAGGCGUAAAGGGCUCGUAGGCGGUUCGUCGCGUCCGGUGUGAAAGUCCAUCGCUUAACGGUGGAUCCGCGCCGGGUACGGGCGGGCUUGAGUGCGGUAGGGGAGACUGGAAUUCCCGGUGUAACGGUGGAAUGUGUAGAUAUCGGGAAGAACACCAAUCGAAUUC
rnacentral:rRNA from 1 species